CGGCACGGGUGAGUAACACGUAUCCAACCUGCCGUCUACUCUUGGCCAGCCUUCUGAAAGGAAGAUUAAUCCAGGAUGGCAUCAUGAGUUCACAUGUCCGCAUGAUUAAAGGUAUUUUCCGGUAGACGAUGGGGAUGCGUUCCAUUAGAUAGUAGGCGGGGUAACGGCCCACCUAGUCAACGGUGGAUAGGGGUUCUGAGAGGAAGGUCCCCCACAUUGGAACUGAGACACGGUCCAG
rnacentral:rRNA from 1 species